rnacentral:tRNA from 2 species
GGGAUGUAGCUUAAUGGUAAAGCCUCAGUCUUCCAAACUGAUGACGCGGGUUCGAUUCCCGUCAUCCC